ensembl:lncRNA
UGGAGGUGGACGUGCGGCCAGUUUGCCAGGGCCCAGCAAGAGAGACACCACUGCAGGGAGAGGAGAGCACUGAACUUCUUCCAGGGCAGUCGGAACAGUUCUCAGCCUUGCUACGAAAGUGGCCAGGGGUGUUUUCUGCCCACGAGGAGGACUUUGGUUUUACCACGGCCGUGCACCAUCGUAUCCCUACCGGCACGGCACCCCCCAUCCGGGAAAUGUAUAGACCUGUUCCACCCACAUUGUACCCUGAACUACGCGGACUGCUGAAGAGUAUGCUGGACAGUGGUGUGAUUCAAGAGAGUUCGAGUCCCUGGGCCGCCGCAGUAGUCCUUCUUAAGAAAAAAUGAUGGCUCAUUGCGCUUCUGUGUAGACUAUCGGAGACUUAACGCAGUGACUCAUAAAGAUCCGUUUCCCCUCCCUAGGAUUGAGGAGUCCCUGACCGGCCUCCACCAGGCGGAAUGGUACUCGACGCUGGACUUAGCCAGUGGGUACUGGCAGGUCGGGGUGGCACCCCCUGACCAGGAGAAAACUGCGUUUGUCACCCCACUGGGCCUGUAUGAGUUCUCCCGGAUGCCUUUUGGUUUGUGCAAUGCCCCCGCCACAUUCCAGCGACUGAUGCAACGUUGCCUAGGGGACAAGGUACACGACCACCUUCUGAUAUACCUGGACGACGUCAUCAUUUACUCCCCUGACUUUGAGACCCACCUGCGACACCUGGAACAGGUUUUCGAACGCCUCCAAAGCCAUGGCCUUAAGCUGCAGCCCAAGAAGUGCCAGUUCUUCCAGCGACAGGUCCUCUACCUGGGACAUGUUGUAAGUGGCCGAGGAGUGGCCACCGAUCCAGAGAAGACGAGAGCGGUCCAAGAUUGGCCUGUCCCCACCACUCUCAAACAGGCUCCCAGGGGCCCUGAGUGCAGGUGUCCAGGUGACAGAGGACAGAGCGGAGGCCACCCCUGCUGAACCCCCG